rnacentral:rRNA from 1 species
GACGAACGCUGGCGGCGUGCUUAACACAUGCAAGUCGAGCGGAAAGGCCCGGCUUUUGCGGGGUGCACGAGUGGCGAACAGGUGAGUAACACAUGAGUAAACCGCCCUUGACAGUGGGAUAACUUCAGGGAACAGGGGCUCAUACCGCAUAUGAUCUCCUGCUGCGUGUUGGGGGUUGGAAAGUGUCGGCGGUGGUGGAUGUACUCGCGGCUUAUCAGCUUGUUUGGGAGGUAGUGGCUUACCAGGCCUUUGAGGGGUAGCCGGCAUGAGAGCGUUACCGGGGACCAUGCGCCUGAGAUACGGCGCAGACUGCUAUGGGAGGCAGCAGUGGGGAAUCUGGCAGAGUGGGCGGAAGCCAGUUGCAGCAAUGCCGGGUGCGGGAUGACGUGUUUUGGGUUGUAAACAGAUUUCUCAGGAGAUGAAGAGGUCGUGACGGUACUUGGUCAAGAAGCACCGGCUAACUACGUG